rfam:Nematostella vectensis strain CH2 x CH6 NEMVEscaffold_231_Cont19841, whole genome shotgun sequence.
GCCCGGUUGGCUCAGAUGAUAGAGCAUCAGACUUUUAAUCUGAGGGUCAUGGGUUCGAGCCCCAUAUCGGGCG